rnacentral:rRNA from 1 species
GAUGAACGCUGGCGGCGUGCCUAAUACAUGCCAGUCGAGCGAACGGACGAGAAGCUUGCUUCUCUGAUGUUAGCGGCGGACGGGUGAGUAACACGUGGAUAACCUACCUAUAAGACUGGGAUAACUUCGGGAAACCGGAGCUAAUACCGGAUAAUAUUUUGAACCGCAUGGUUCAAAAGUGAAAGACGGUCUUGCUGUCACUUAUAGAUGGAUCCGCGCUGCAUUAGCUAGUUGGUAAGGUAACGGCUUACCAAGGCAACGAUGCAUAGCCGACCUGAGAGGGUGAUCGGCCACACUGGAACUGAGACACGGUCCAGACUCCUACGGGAGGCAGCAGUAGGGAAUCUUGCGCAAUGGGCGAAAGCCUGACGGAGCAACGCCGCGUGAGUGAUGAAGGUCUUCGGAUCGUAAAACUCUGUUAUUAGGGAAGAACAUAUGUGUAAGUAACUGUGCACAUCUUGACGGUACCUAAUCAGAAAGCCACGGCUAACUACGUG